rnacentral:rRNA from 1 species
UACGGGGGGGGGCAAGCGUUGUUCGGAAUUACUGGGCGUAAAGGGCGCGUAGGCGGUUGGAUAAGUCAGCUGUGAAAACCACGGGCUUAACUCGUGGCCUGCAGUUGAGACUGUCUGGCUUGAGUGUGGGAGAGGUGAGUGGAAUUCCCAGUGUAGCGGUGAAAUGCGUAGAUAUUGGGGAGGAACACCAGUGGCGAAGGCGGCUCACUGGACCGGAACUGACGCUGAGGCGCGAAAGCGUGGGGAGCAAACAGG